rnacentral:rRNA from 1 species
AGGAGAGUUUGAUCCUGGCUCAGGAUGAACGCUGGCGGCGUGCCUAACACAUGCAAGUCGAACGAAGCACUUUUUUACGAUCCCUUCGGGGUGACGAAUUUGUGACUGAGUGGCGGACGGGUGAGUAACGCGUGGGAAACCUGCCUUGUACCGGGGGAUAGCAGUUGGAAACGACUGAUAAUACCGCAUAAGCGCGCAGUAUCACAUGAUACAGUGUGAAAAACUCCGGUGGUACAAGAUGGUCCCGCGUCUGAUUAGCUUGUUGGCGGGGCAACGGCCCACCAAGGCGACGAUCAGUAGCCGACCUGAGAGGGUGACCGGCCACAUUGGGACUGAGACACGGCCCAAACUCCUACGGGAGGCAGCAGUGGGGAAUAUUGCACAAUGGAGGAAACUCUGAUGCAGCGACGCCGCGUGAGCGAUGAAGUAUUUCGGUAUGUAAAGCUCUAUCAGCAGGGAAGAUAAUGACGGUACCUGAGUAAGAAGCUCCGGCUAAAUACGUGCCAGCAGCCGCGGUAAUACGUAUGGAGCAAGCGUUAUCCGGAUUUACUGGGUGUAACGGGAGUGUAGGCGGCUUUGCAAGUCAGAUGUGAAAGCCCGGGGCUCAACCCCGGGACUGCAUUUGAAACUGUGAAGCUGGAGUGUCGGAGAGGUAAGUGGAAUUCCUAGUGUAGCGGUGAAAUGCGUAGAUAUUAGGAAGAACACCAGUGGCGAAGGCGGCUUACUGGACGAUUACUGACGCUGAGGCUCGAAAGCGUGGGGAGCAAACAGGAUUAGAUACCCUGGUAGUCCCCU